GUCAUGGAAAACUAGGUUGAUUUGACAAGGGUGUCAUGGAAAACUAGGUUGAUUUGACAAGGGUGUCAUGGAAAACUAGGUUGAUUUGGCAAAGGUGCAAUGGAAAACUAGUUGAUUUGACAAGGGUGCCAUGGAAAACUAGUUGAUUUGACAAGGGUGCAAUGGAAAAAUACUUGGAGACAUUUAAAUUGGCAAGGGUGCUAUGACGAAAACAGGUGAUUUGACAAGGAUGCUAAAGAAAAAUAGUUGAGGGGACUUAAUUUGACAAGGCUGCCAUGGAAAACUAGCUAAUUUGACAAGGUUGCUAUGAGAGAAAAUAGUUAAGGGGACAUUUAAUUUGACAAAAGUGAAAUGGAAAAAUAGUUGAGGCGGUAUUCAAUUCCAAACCUCAACCUUCUGCAUCAUAGGAGCAACGUCCAUGUAAAGUGACACACACAACAGGCAGAGGAACACAAGGGCAUGCAUUCUAAGGUCAUGGGUCUCAAGCAAACUCCUCCAAAUCAUAAUCAAAAACUGUGAAAAAUAAAAUAGUCACUAAAGUAUUUCUGAUCUCGCUCUCUUGCUAAUUAUUCGUGAAAACCAAAACCUCGAACACGGUGCCCAGUGGAAGUUGGAACUCGGAACAGAAAAAAGAAAAAAUGGAAAACAGAACAAAAUCAGACACAUAGAAAUAAAAAAUGAAUAAAAUGAGAAACGUUUUUUAACACACAAACAAAAGAAAACAAAACUGCAGCACUCGGAAAAGAAAAAAGAAAAAAUGAAAAACAGAACAAAAUAAGACAAACAGAAAUAAAAAAAUGAAUAAGACAAUACGUUUCUUUACAC